rnacentral:rRNA from 1 species
UACGUAGGGCGCAAGCGUUGUCCGGAAUUAUUGGGCGUAAAGAGCUCGUAGGCGGCCUGUUGCGUCCGCUGUGAAAUCCCGGGGCUCAACCCCGGGCGUGCAGUGGAUACGGGCUGGCUGGAGGCAGGCAGGGGAGAACGGAAUUCCUGGUGUAGCGGUGAAAUGCGCAGAUAUCAGGAGGAACACCGGUGGCGAAGGCGGGUCUCUGGGCCGUUACUGACGCUGAGGAGCGAAAGCGUGGGGAGCGAACAGG